ACUUCUCACUUUUUUGUCUUCCUUGGCUGUAUUUUACCAGAAAGGGCUGCUGUCAAACAAAAAUCAGGUUGUCAUGGAAAGAGAAUUUAAAAAAAAACAAAAACAAAAAAAACACAAAAAGUAUCUCGAGCGGGUUUCACGGUUCAAGUCAGAAACAUACAAACCAAAGUGUUGCAGUCGUGUUGGGUUUCUUCAGCUCAGACGUUACAGGCUGUUAAAGAAGUACUGAAAGACUGUUUAUUUUUUUAAGACAAUCUCGCCUGUAUAUUAUAAAACUUUUAAAUCUUCUGGAGAACCGUCACACUUCCUCUUUUUUUCAUCACCUCUUGUAGAAAACGUCACACUGUCAAACAGAUGCUGUGGUUUUUUGUUUUUUUUUUAGGGCUUUAGAGCACUCGGGUCCAGAUUCACUGAGGUUGGAUUUUAGAGUUUGCACAUCCUCCAGUUUUCAGGUCUUUGAAUCUAGAAAUAUUUUCAAACAAUAAGAAGGAACAGGAGAUAUUUCUUGAGGUUAAUUAAUGGAUUUUUUAAAAGUAUAAAUAAGCAGAUGCAGUGGAUUCACUUGUGGAGACAGUGAUGAGCUUUAAGGGGAAAGAAAAGGAGAAAUCAUGAAUCCUUGAAUCUAUACACGGUCAUAUUUUCAAACAAUAAGAUAUUUUUUGAGGUUAAUUAUUGGGUUUUUAAAAGCAUAAAUACUUAUAUGAAAUUAAGAAACCCUAAAUAAGUUAAUUAGGGUUAAGGAGAUGUAUUGGAUUCACUUGUGGAGACAGUGAUGAGCUUUAAGGGGAAAAGAAAAGUAGAAAUCAUUUAUACUGUCAUAUUUUCAAACAAUAACAAUAUUUUUUUAGGUUAAUUAUAUUUAAAAGCAUAAAUAUGCAUAUAGGUCCAUAUGAAAUAAUAUACCAUAUAUAAUAUUACAUAUUCACGUAUGUACCUGAGUCAAACAAGGCUAAACCAGGUCAAACCAGGCUAAACCAGGCCACACCGGAUCAAACCAAACCAAACCAGGUCAAACCAG